AGUGAACGCUGGCGGUAGGCCUAACACAUGCAAGUCGAACGGCAGCACAGUAAGAGCUUGCUCUUACGGGUGGCGAGUGGCGGACGGGUGAGGAAUACAUCGGAAUCUACUUUUUCGUGGGGGAUAACGUAGGGAAACUUACGCUAAUACCGCAUACGACCUACGGGUGAAAGCAGGGGAUCUUCGGACCUUGCGCGAUUGAAUGAGCCGAUGUCGGACUAGCUAGUUGGCGGGGUAAAGGCCACCAAGGCGACGAUCCGUAGCUGGUCUGAGAGGAUGAUCAGCCACACUGGAACUGAGACACGGUCCAGACUCCUACGGGAGGCAGCAGUGGGGAAUAUUGGACAAUGGGCGCAAGCCUGAUCCAGCCAUACCGCGUGGGUGAAGAAGGCCUUCGGGUUGUAAAGCCCUUUUGUUGGGAAAGAAAAGCAGCAGGUUAAUACCCCGCUGUUCUGACGGUACCCAAAGAAUAAGCACCGGCUAACUUCGUG
rnacentral:rRNA from 1 species